rnacentral:ncRNA from 1 species
AGUUUUAUUCUUGCUUUAUUCGUUCAUUUUUUUGUUUGUUCUAUAUGUAAGUUUGUGCAUUAGUGGCCUUUGUGGUUUCUAAAUGGGCUCGGGGCAUGGAGUUAGUUUUUGUUGGUUUUCUCAUUAGUUAUUAUUGGUUGAUCAAGGGUGCUUGUAUCCAGCAAUACGUUUAGUUUCGGUUAAAUUUUGUGCCAGCAGCCGCGGUUAUACCUUGGAAGCGUUUGAACGGGGUUGGCUUUAAAGGUAGUUGUAUAUUAUUGUAUUGGUUUUGUUUUUGGUUAUUUUUAGGUGAAAUUUUUAUUUCUUUUUUUCUAGUUUAAUGUUUGGAGGCUAUGAAAUUUUAUUUUUAAACUAGGAUUAGAUACCCUAUUAUUUUAGAAUGUUAAUUGGUUUAUGCCUGAGUAGUAUUAGUUAUGUUCUUGAAACUUAAAGAAUUUGGCGGUAUCUCAUUCCUUCCAGAGGAAUCUGUCUCGUUAUCGAUAGUCCACGUUGGACCUUACUUGGUUGAUUAGGUUUGUAUACCGCCGUUUAUUGAUUAUCUUUUUAGAGUUAUUUUUAAUUUUCUAGUAGCUCCAUUUUGAUAUAUUUCAGGUCAAGGUGCAGCUUGUUUCUAAGUGGAAUGAUGGAUUACAUUGUAAUUUGGUUUAUUGGAUUGUGAGUUUUAAUAUUGGCAUGAAAGUGGAUUUGGUUGUAAUGAUUUUUAGAUUGUUAUUAUGAUAGUGGUUCUGAGAUAUGUACACAUCGCCCGUCGCUCUCGUUUGUUUUUGAUGAGAUAAGUCGUAACAAAGUGGUUGUACCGGAAGGUGCGGCUGGAUUGAUA